UGUUGCAUUGUAUCAGAGAAUGUCUAAUAUGAGGAGAACUGGCACUCGCGGGUUAUUUCCGGGUUUCUGGACUGGUUGCAGUAAUAAUCUUUGACCACGCGGGGCGCUCGUAGGCGAGUCCAGAAUGAAUGGGAGCCAACGGGGUUUUAUCCUCAGAAUCCACUUUUCUCACGAUGUAAUUUUUUGUCAAGUAAUUUUAAAGUUGCUAUCAAAGGGUGGGGCUAAGAUAAUAAACUCAGCUGAAUAUUGCAUUUUUUAAGGUCACGUAUCUGUUCUAAAAAGGCGUUAAAAACAUGCGAUGACGUCACACACUGUAAUACUGUCAGAGGUACUGCUUUACGGCAGUUUCUAAAGCACUUCCCUUGUCCCGCAACGAUAACACCAGCUGUUGGAGUCGGACCUUGAUGCUGUGACAACGGACAAGUCUUCUUCCUCUGUCCUUUUCCCCUGCCUCUGUUCAGUAUGUUCAGUGUUGUUAAAUCAUCUUUUUUUUUAUUAGUUACUGUUCUUAUUGUGUUCUUGUUAGUGUGAUUUUUGAAUAAACUUGCCUGUUGCAAUGUUGGUAUAAUGUUUGUAUAAUUACUGUUAUACAACUGUUACUGUUUCAAUGUGACCCAGACCAUAUUUCUCAUUUAACAAACAUGUGUAGCUUAUAAUGUGUUGCAUGGCAGAGCAAUUACGGUAUAU